rnacentral:rRNA from 1 species
UACGUAGGCAGCAAGCGUUGUUCGGAAUUACUGGGCGUAAAGAGUGUGUAGGCGGUGCUCUAAGUUCGGUGUGAAAUCUCCCGGCUUAACUGGGAGGGUGCGCCGGAAACUGGAGUGCUCGAGCGUGGGAGAGGAAAGCGGAAUUCCUGGUGUAGCGGUGAAAUGCGUAGAUAUCAGGAGGAACACCGGUGGUGUAGACGGUUCUCUGGGCCUUACCUGACGCUGAGGAGCGAAAGCGUGGGGAGCGAACAGG